rnacentral:tRNA from 1 species
AUAAAACAAAAAUCGUUUAUUUACCAAGCCCCUUUCAAAUAUAUGUAUCUCUUUCUAUGAUAGAAAAAGCAUAUAAAAUAAGUUUAUCAAUCGGUUCUCAUUAUUCACAGUAAGUUAACUCAGGCG